CUUGGCGGGAAGCCAGCUCCAAACUUGCACAAGGUUACAAAUAGGUGGCUUCAACUACUGCGUUUGCAUCUCUUUGUUGUUGUAAGUUUUCUUGCAUCUUCCCAUUUUUGACCACGCUUUCUUCCUAUGCUCUCAUACAGAAGACAUACAUUAAUGAUCAGGAAGCUGACUAAUUUACUUCUCUGUGGAAGCUAUGAAAUGGACUUUAAAAGUCACAGCAUGAACCAUGGAUUUCAAAGUAGUCUGUACAAGCUGUAGGGGUCCACUUGUGCACAUCUCACAAUGGGACUCUAGCUCAGUCUUCAAUGAUUGACAGAAAGAUGCAUCAGAGGAAAUUCUUGUCAUAUGCAAUUCUCAGCAGUCCCUGUUGAACAAUAACUGC